ensembl:lncRNA
GCAAACCUGGGCUCUGCUGAGAGCAAUGGGAGUUCGGAGAUGGAGGGCAGUAUCGUGUUUCUGUCGUGUUACCAUUUUAAGGAGAAAGAUGCAGCUUUUCCACUACUACAGUUUAAUGUGCAGAGCAGUCCAAGAAGCAAUCAGGGCAUAUUGGAAGCAGGAGAGUGAAUGAUGUCUUCCAACAGCUGAAAGCAACCUGGGAAGAGCAAGGAUUUGGUGCCAUCUUGAUGCUCUGCGCUUAACCCCCAGGUGGAGGCAGACACUUUGCUGCAUUACAGAGUGAAUCCUUGACACCAGGUUUGUUACCACUGCACUAUGGAGUGCUGCUGCAUGGGCAGCCCCGAUUCAUGGUGCCUGAAUAUCAGGAAAUGCUACUUGGUGGUCACGACGAAAAAUAUCACCUCUCUCUCUCCAAGCAAAAAAAUUCCCAAUGUUUUGUCAUCAAUUUUUAUAAAAGGUACCGCUAAGGAACUAUUUGGACAAAUAAAAGUUUAUUCUACAUUUUCACGGAAUUCAAGGACAGUUCCACAUAAUGUUGUGAAAAUGAUCAAGGCUAUGGGAGAAAAAGAUGUCAAGAUUUUUAAGGGCAAACAUCAAGAAGAAAACUGGAAAGAUCAGCUCUGCUCAAAAGGAAUAGAUGUUAGAGCAGAAACCAAAUCAAAUAUGAGUCAGCAGUGAUCACUCAUCCACUGGUAAAGUAAGCCCUAUUCUGUGUUAUUUUACUUGGUGCUGUUGAGGCUGUUGCAGCAUGCCUUCUUUUGAGUUCUCCAAGAAAGUCAGAUGUGUCUGUAGAUGUGUUAUGAAUCAGAUACUUGUUUUCAAAUGUCAGAAGAAGAAUACUCACUGGCUGAACCAAAAUGCCUAUUCCAGCUUCCAACAUGGCCAUGUUGCUUUAGAAGGACUUUGGAAUACGAGCAGGACAAACUUGUGGUUUCGCUGAUGAAAAAUAUGUGGAUUGUGUUAUUACAAUAUUAGAAUCUCGGGAAAGGAAACAUCCAUCUAAUACAUGAGAGAAGUUAGUAGUUAUGAAAGGGUGGUCAGACACUGGAAUGGGCUGCCCAGAGAGGUGGUGGAGUCACCGACCCUGGUGGUGUUUAAAGAGCGUUUGGAUGUUUUAGCGGGAACCAUUGAUGAAGGGCGAAUGGUUGGACUGGAUGAUCCUGUGGGUCUUUUCCAACCUUAGCCAUUCUAUGAUUCUAUUCUAUCUAUUCUAUGAUUCUAUGAAAGGAAAUAUUGACUAUGAGCACAAUGGUGCUUCUGGUAGGGUUGCUAUAACUCUGUUGAAACCUUUCUCUGAUCUGAAAUAUUUUGUUGCUAAUAAUGCAAUGGGCUAGUGAGCAGCAAGACCUCAAACCUCAGCAUAAAAGAACACAGCAAAAUUGCAUUAAUGCAAUUAGUAUGCAUUGAUGCAUUAUAUACUAAGAUUUUGUUCAAAAUCAAAUAAUUAUAGUGAAAUUAAUUGAUAACUUGAGGACUAUCACCUUCAUUUAUUUAUUUAAUAUGAGAAAGAUACUGCCUUUUGCCUUGCUGAGUAGCAAAAUUGACCUAGGUUCACUGCAGUUCCAUGUCCUUUGUAAAUCCCGAGCACAUGCACUGAAAAUAUAUUUUAUUUAGGGAAUGAGUGUUGUUGAAGCAUCUCCUGAGAAAAGGCAGAAACUGUCUGUAGCUGCUGUUUCUGCACUUCUUAGCCUAAGCAGGCAGACUGUUGUCUUCCUGAAGCAAGGAUAUAUGUUAUUGCAGAAAAUCAAGUGUGAGGAAUACUUGCAGUCAAGAAGUAUCAAAGCCACCAAGAUGAGUCUUCAGUAGCUCCAGAGGAAGUAAGGAAAUUGGAAGAGAAGACAGUUGCCAUUUGUGCUUGCAAAUGGAGUGCAAAACAGAGGGGGGGGGGGGGAAAAAAGGCAUCUCAUGAAUUGUUUAAUCUGGAACAAUAAAGAAAACCUCCAGGAAGAAAAAUACAAUAUUGUAUUCAUCCUUUUUUCUCUUUAAUCACAUUCUUUAUUUAUAACAGAGCUGAUGACUUAGGGGUUCCCUAGGAAUCCUUUCAUAGCUCUGUAUGCUGAUUUACACUGGAUCUCACAGGUUUGCUAUCAAGGGGAUGUUGAAUUAGUUGAACUGUAGCUGGGUAUAAUUCUUGGCUGUGUUAUAGCAAUUCAUAAGAUGAAAGUCUGGCUCCAGGAGAUCAAAUAGGAGUUUUUUAUUUGAUAUCAAGGCUUUACCCUGUAUUUUCAUUUUUUUCACAGCUUGAUCAGAGUCAAGGGAAAGAAGGAAAAUACAACUGGUAUGCUGGCUGUUGUGUAGUGGCAUUGGAAAUGAGAACUCUGAGACUUUUUAAUCUUAUGUUGGUUUUGGUGGUUUUUUUUUUUUUUUAAACUUUGAACCAUGGAAUUCAAAGGUUUAAGUAUGUGUGAACUUGGAAAAGCAGCUCAACUAAAUGUUUUAAUUUC